AGGUCUACAAACACACUACCACACAACAGGACUCUUCCUGCUCACAGUCUCUUUACCAGUCCAGAGGAACGAAUGAAAAAUGGCCUCAAUUUUCUUGAUAACAAUUUUCGGCAACGGGAAACAAGACAUCCUGAUCCAGUAGUUAGCAAUAGCGAAGGAGAUAAUUUUAAUCAGUUAGAGUCUGCUACCAAAACUAAGCAAAUGAGUAGACCAAUGCUUGGUUCUGGACACAAUUUUGUCAAUAAGCUUCAUAUAAUGAUUAACGGACAACUUUUUACACGUAAGGGGAACCCCAAGAUAACGAAAGGGAAGACUGCCUUCAACAAAAGAAGUCAGCUUUAA